GACGAACCGUGCGAACGUUAUUCGGAAUCAUUGGGCUUAAAGGGCGCGUAGGCGGGCGACCGCGUCGAUGGCUGAAAGCCCCCGGCUUAACCGGGGAACGGGCCCCGAUACGGGUCGCCUCGAGGCGAGGAGGGGGACCUGGAACGUCCGGUGGAGCGGUGAAAUGCGUUGAGAUCGGACGGAACACCGACGGCGAAAGCAAGGUCCUGGACUCGUAACUGACGCUGAGGCGCGAAAGCCAGGGGAGCGAACGGG
rnacentral:rRNA from 1 species